GACGAACGCUGGCGGCGUGCUUAACACAUGCAAGUCGAACGGUAAGGCCCUUCGGGGUACACGAGUGGCGAACGGGUGAGUAACACGUGGGUGAUCUGCCCUGCACUUCGGGAUAAGCCUGGGAAACUGGGUCUAAUACCGGAUAGGACCACUGCCUGCAUGGGUGGUGGUGGAAAGCUUUUGCGGUGCGGGAUGGGCCCGCGGCCUAUCAGCUUGUUGGUGGGGUGAUGGCCUACCAAGGCGACGACGGGUAGCCGGCCUGAGAGGGUGACCGGCCACGCUGGGACUGAGAUACGGCCCAGACUCCUACGGGAGGCGGCAGUGGGGAAUAUUGCACAAUGGGCGCAAGCCUGAUGCAGCGACGCCGCGUGAGGGAUGACGGCCUUCGGGUUGUAAACCUCUUUCAGCACCGACGAAGCGCAAGUGACGGUAGGUGCAGAAGAAGGACCGGCCAACUACGUGCCAGCAGCCGCGGUAA
rnacentral:rRNA from 1 species